rnacentral:lncRNA from 1 species
AAUGGAAGUGACACCAUCAAGCAGCCAGAAGCCAGGUGGAAAUUUGUUGGUAUCUCGGGAUGGCAAUUGUUGGCUCAUUUAGUCAUUGAAUCGGUCAUGCAAAUAACAUGUAUCAUGCCCAUCAGAAAGAUAUGUCAGUCCCUGGACACAGGAAUCUUUGGUGAUCCCUGUUAUAUAAAAGUGCAGGUUUGGAAUUAUCACUGCUAAAUGCCUAUUUAUCCAGGACUGCUAGGCAGAGGCCAUUUCUCCCAGAGAAGCUCUGACAUUUUAUGGAGUGUAGAGUUGAGCUAAAAUUUUACUAAUUUAUGUAAACACUGAAUACUUACCAAAGGCAAGGUAUCAGGCCUUGUAUGGAUAAAAGAUAAAUUAAACAUGGGCAGUCCUUGACCAAAAGGGAGAAAAACCUUUUCAUAUGUGAUUGCAGUAUAAGAGUAAAUCUGAGUCUAUGGUAGAUUGUUUGUAAGAAUCCCAAAGAGAAAAGUUAUUUCUUGAGCAUAAAAAGAUAGAGAUAAACAUAUAUUUAAGAUAAUAAUAAUAUAGACAAAUAAUAUAGGCACUGCUUUAUAAAUGCGAGAAAGCCGUUGAGACAAGACUGUUAACAACUGAGCAAGCAAGAUGGUUAAGCUAAUGUUGUAAGUAAUAAUUCCUCAGGCUCUUGAAAAUGGUAGUGUUUGAAGUUGUUUUUUUUUUUUAAAUUAAAGAUUCCAGGAAACCAGAGACUUCUGAGUAAUGUUUAAAUCAUUGGGAAUUGAUCUGACAUUUAAUGGCAAAACGUUGACUCUCUAAGGCCACACUAAGGUCAGUGGGUCAGGGCACUGCCAUUACCUAACCUUAGCUGGCCUCUUUCCAUGACAUAUCAGAAUAUUGAUCCGAGUUGUUAUGUGGAAUUGGGCAUGGAGUUCUCUCUUCUUAUUUUAACAUUUUAAAAAACCGGGUCUAACUAAUAUAUUAUAUUCUGCCAUGACUUUCAUUUUUGUGUGAUCGCACUGAAGGAAUCUGCUCUGCCUCUUGUUUAUCCUCCUACUUUGAUUUGUCCGUACUCCCUGAACAAAACUUAAGGCUUCUCUGAACACUUUCUAACCAGGGUUCAUUCACUGAAGGUUUAACAUUCUCUAGGAUUCUAUACUAUAUUUUGCCUUCAAAUUUCAUUGAUCCUUCAAACUUCAGUCUUACCAGCAGUCAUUUUUUUGAUUUUAUUUUUUAAUUUUUAAUUUUUUUCUGCUGUGCAGCAAAGCGACCCAAACAUAUAUGUUUACACAUUCUUUUUCUCUUGUUAUCUUCCAUCAUGUGCUAUCACAGAGAUUGGAUAUAGUUCCCUGUGCUCUUCAGUUGGACCUUAUUGCUUACCUAUUGAAAAUGCAGUAGUUUGCAUGUACUAACCCCAAACUCCUAGUCCAUCCCACUUCCUCCAAUCCCCUUGGCAACCAUAUGUCUGUUCUCCAUGUCUGUGAGUCUGUUUCUGACUUGUAGAUAGGUUCAUUUGUGCCAUAUUUAGGUUGUAGGAGAAUCUCUAGUUGCAUCCAUGGUAGUCAGUUUUGGUGUUCAUUGAGUGUGACCCUGAAUGAUUAAAUAAAAUUGGCUGUCUAUAGUGUUAAAUCUGCCUUUAUUUUUCAGACCCAUUGUCAACAAAAGGGUUCUAGCUUAGCUAUUGAAUAUUUUCUACCUUACUUAUAUAUUUUCUGUUUGGACUCUGCUUGAAGGUUGAUUGCCUUUUCCAUUUACCUGUUAGUCAUUGUGUUUUAUUUGACUAUGGACAUAUUGGGCACUGAAUUCAUAGGUCCAAACUAACUUCUUGAUUUGAACAAUGAUGGAACAAUUAAAUUUCUAACACUGUAGAACUGUAAAACACUUUUAGCUUUUCCGAAGAGCUUUCAGAUAUGGUUUCUCAUUUUACUUUCAUAACUCAUCUAUGAAAUAGAAGUAUAUACUAAUUCAGAAGAAGACUCUAACUCUUGAUCAAGCAAGUACAUUCCCAUUGCAGAUGACUAAUGUAAGCCAUAGGAAUAAUUUGUUCUGAAAAGGACCCAGUACAAUCAAUUCUUGAACCCACAUCUUAUCCUCAUGUUCUUAUUAAGUAAGUGGUGGGUGUCAGAAAUGGUAAUAAAAAAAAACAAAAUAUGCCAUUUGUAGUAACAUGGAUGGAACUAGAGACUCUCAUACUGAGUGAAGUUAGUCAGAAAGAGAAAGACAAAUACCAUAAGAUAUCACUUAUAUCUGGAAUCUAAUAUAUGGCACAAAUGAACCUUUCCACAGAAAAGAAAAUCAUGGACCUGGAGAAUAGACUUGUGGUUACCAAGGGGGAGGGGGAGGGAGUGGGAUUAUUGCCUUGGAAUGGAUUAGCAAUGAGAUCCUACUGUGUAGCACUGGGAACUAUGUCUAGUCUCCAUUAUGAUGGAGCAUGAUAAUGUGAGAAAAAAGAAUGUAUACAUGUGUGGAUCACUGGGUCACCAUGCUGUACAGUAGAAAAUUGACAGAACGUUGUAAACCAGCUAUAAUGGGAAAAAAAUCGUUAUAUAAACAAACAACAACAAAAAAAGUAUGUGGUGCAAAUUGCAAGUUGUCUACCAAAAUCUGUGCCCCAUUGCUUCCAUCGUAAGAAAGUGUCAUUACUGGGACAAAGCUGCCCAACCAUGGACUUUGUUUUCCUGCUCCCUCUGCAGCUGGCUGUGGCCAUGACUAAGUUCUCUCCCACGAAGUAUGAGCAAGAGUUAAAGAUGCCAUUCGAGACUUGCUUCGAAACACUGCAGGUUCACUUCUAUAGUAUUUGGAUUUUGUUUGUUUGCUUGUUUUUUCGUUUCCCAGGGGUGAUGUCAAGACGGACACAUGUUGAAGAGGGAAGGACUGGCCUCAUUCUGGAUUGGAGUUUUGCAUGACUGAGUGGAGCAGAGCCUUCCCACCAUCUCCCUUCCCACUCAGAUUGUUACUUGAGAGAUAUAUCCAUUUGUAUUUUAUUUCAACUCCAUUUUCAGGGCUACUUAUUCAGUACUUUAGUCUACUUACUUAAUAUAGACGGCCACUUGAUUUUACUAGGAAAAAAUUUUAAGAGCAUUUAAGUUGCGGCUGAUGAUGAGACUGAAAAGUAUCAAGCCCUGACUGUGUGCCUCCUUUCUGUCAUCUAUUUGAUGACAAGGCAGAAGCUUAGGAGACAGGAGAGAAGAAUGAAAGAGAGGUAGGCCAAGGGUGGAGGAGGAAGUGUGGAGGCAAGGGUUGAACUACAGAGAUGUCUUCACUUCCUCAGAAAUAAGAGUAGAUUAAAAACAUUUUAAAAAUUGAACGAGGACACCCUCCCUUUUUUUCUUACUUAAUUUUUUUUAAGACAAUCAUUUAAUCUUUCCUCAAGUUAUUUUUACAGUUGUGACCUACACGGCUCAGCUUUUGGCAAUGCCUGAUUCUUAAUACACUGAGUGAGGCCAGGGAUUGAACCCUCAUCCUCAUGGAGACUCUGUCAGGUUCUUAACCUGCUGAGCCACAACAGGAAGUCCUUACACAAAGUCUUUAUUGAAUAUUCUCAGCUCAUUAGCUAGCACCAGCUAAUGAAUUCUAAAUUCUUUGUGUUUGAUUCGCUAUUCACUACAGUGAGUCAAACACCAAGAAUUUAGCCAGGAGACCAAAAUAAUCACUGUAAGAACAGUCACCCUGGGAGUUCCUGUCUUGGCACAGGGAAACAAAUCUGACUAGGAACCAUGACGUUGCGGGUUCGAUCCCUGGCCUCGCUCAGUGGGUUAAGGAUCUGGCAUUGCCGUGAGCUGUGGUGCAGGUUGCAGAAGAGGCUCGGAUCUGGUGUUGCUGUGGCUGUGGUGUAGGCUGGCAGCAACAGCUCCGAUUAGACCUCUAACUUGGGAACACCCAUAUGCUGCGGGUAUGACUCUAAAAAGACAAAAAACAAAAAACAAACAAAAAACCCCCCAAAUAGUCACCAAGGACACAUAUUGCAGAAAGCAACCUCCACAUUUUAAGUCUUUUCCAAUCAAAUUGUGUCCUUUUUUUCUGUAACUCUUGUCACUUAGAUUUUAUCUUAGUGGGUCAUCUCAAAAAGUCUUGAUGCUAGAAUCCAGAGAAAUAGAGAGAUAAGCAUCACCAACACUUGUUGAUGAUGCAACUACUUAAUAUCUUCCAGAAGUGCUCACACAGACACCUUCACUUGAAAACAGGGUCAGAUAGAAACUUUAAGAGUCUCUCACAGGUGAAACCAUGGGGCGAGUGUAUGCAGUAACCCACAGUCGUACUGCCCUAACAGUAUCUGACCUGAACCUGGCACGGCUUCAGAAAAAGCCAUGUGUUCAGGCUAAAACAAGAAUGAGAAAAAAAGAGAACAUUGCUUUCUUCUAAUGUGGUAAAUAGGGCAUGAAGGUUUUAGAGUCUGCUGGUGAAACCAGUUUUACAAGUUCUUUACUUACCCAUAGGGCUUAGCCCUAAGGGAGAAAAAAUAUUUUUAUUCAGAAAAAACUUAAGACUUUGAAUCUUUGGAAUUUGGUAUCCAGAGUAAAGAACUAGAUGAAAGUUGUUAUAUCUACAUUUAUUGGGAUGAAAUUUGAAACUGGAACCAUUAUGUUUAAAAUUUUUUUUUCACAUGUGCCAUACUUCCCAUUUCUGUUUUUGGCAUGAGGAAGUGAUAAAAGAAAGCUUCUUAUGUGUCUCCUCAUUACAGUGACCCUUAACCUAUGUGGAGUUAGGGGAGACUGAACUCCUUCCCGUAAAACUCUGAGUAUAACUUCACAGUCCCCCUUCCCAAGGUUCUGCAUCCACAGAUUCAACCAAUGUGGCUUGUGUAGCACUGUAGUACAUAUUUACUGAAGAAAAAAAAAAACAAAAA